UGGCGUACGGGUGAGUAACACGUGGGUAAUCUACCUCUUAGUGAGGAAUAACCCUGGGAAACCGGGGGCUAAUACCGCAUAAGCCUGAGAAGGGAAAGCAGAAAUGCGCUGAGAGAGGAGCCCGCGGCCGAUUAGCUAGUUGGUGGGGUAAGAGCCUACCAAGGCAGAGAUCGGUAGCCGGCCUGAGAGGGCACACGGCCACACUGGCACUGAAACACGGGCCAG
rnacentral:rRNA from 1 species